CCCAGUUCAAGUAAUUCAGGAUAGGUUGUGUGCUGUCCAGCCUGUUCUCCAUUACUUGGCUCGGG
ensembl:miRNA